AAAUUUCAUCGUGAUGGGGAUAGAUCAUUGCAAUUGUUGGUCUUCAACGAGGAAUGCCUAGUAAGCGCGAGUCAUCAGCUCGCGUUGACUACGUCCCUGCCCUUUGUACACACCGCCCGUCGCUCCUACCGAUUGAAUGGUCCGGUGAAGUGUUCGGAUCGCGGCGACGGGGGCGGUUCGCCGCCCCCGACGUCGCGAGAAGUCCAUUGAACCUUAUCAUUUAGAGGAAGGAGAAGUCGUAACAAGGUUUCCGUAGGUGAACCUGCGGAAGGAUCAUUG
rnacentral:rRNA from 30 species